rnacentral:lncRNA from 1 species
GUGUGAUCUGCUAGUUUUCUAUGUGUUUUAAAAGAAUUGUAUUCCUCUGAUUGUUCGGUAGUUUCAUUCCCUUAGUUUAUUCGAAUGAAAAUACCGAACAACCAGACCUCCCCUGUGUGAAGUGUGUCCUCAAUUACCCGUUGCAACAUUGUUGCGAAUGGGUAAUUGACUAGUAAGUAGCCGUCCUUUGUUCUCGGGGGUGGCCGCCAUUCGACAAACGAACACGUGGCGGC